GAUGAACGCUGGCGGCGUGGAUAAGGCAUGCAAGUCGCGGGAGGCUUCGAGCCUACCGGCGAACGGGUUAGUAACACGUAGAUAACAUACCCCAGAGAUAGGGAUAAUCCGUUGAAAGACGGACUAAUACCUAAUGGUCCCCGCCAAAGGCGGGGUAAAGGUUUCGAGCAAUCGAUUCUGCUCUGGGAGUGAUCUGCGGCCUAUCAGCUAGUUGGUAAGGUAAUGGCUUACCAAGGCAAUGACGGGUAGGGGGUGUGAGAGCACGACCCCCAACAGAGGCACUGAGACACGGGCCUCACUCCUACGGGAGGCAGCAGUCGAGAAUCUUCGGCAAUGGGCGAAAGCCUGACCGAGCGACGCCGCGUGCAGGAAGAAGACCUUCGGGUUGUAAACUGCUUUUAACCGAGAUGAACUGCGUAGGUGACAGUACCGGUUGAAUAAGGGGGUGCUAACUCUGUGCCAGCAGCAGCGGUAAUACAGAGCCCCCAAGCGUUAUCCGGAUUUAUUGGGCGUAAAGGGUCCGUAGACGCCUCGUCAAGUUUUCUAUUAAAUCUUCAGGGCUUAACCUUGAAGCUGUGGAAAAAACUAACGAGGUAGAGGGCGUCAGAGGCCAGUGGAAUGCACGGUGUAGGGGUGAAAUCCGUUGAUAUCGUGUGGAACACCAAAAGCGAAGGCAGCUGGCUGGGGCGACCCUGACGUUGAGGGACGAAAGCGUGGGGAGCAAAAAGGAUUAGAUACCCUUGUAGUCCACGCCCUAAACGAUGGAUGCUAGCUGGUGGGAGUGUCGACCCUUUCACUGGCGAAGCUAACGCGUUAAGCAUCCCGCCUGGGAAGUACGGCCGCAAGGCUGAAACUCAAAGGAAUAGACGGGGGUCUACACAAGCGGUGGACCACGUGGCUUAAUUCGACGACAAGCGAAGAACCUUACCAGGGCUUGACACGUCAAGUGAAAAUCCGCCGAAAGGCGGACUCCGCAAGGCACUUGAUACAGGUGCUGCAUGGUUGUCGUCAGCAGGUGUCGUGAGAUGCUCCCUUAAAUGGGGAAACCUGCGCAACCCUUGUCCUAUGUUUUAUUUGUCAUAGGAAACUGCCUUAUUUUAUAAGGAGGAAGGUGGGGACGACGUCAAAUCAGCAUGGCCCUUAUGUCCUGGGCAGCACACGUGGUACAAUGGCCGGUACAAAGAGUUGCCAAAGCGCAAGCUGGAGCUAAUCUCAUCAAAACCGGUCUCAGUUCGGAUCGAGGUCUGAAACUCGACCUCGUGAAGCUGGAAUCGCUAGUAAUCGCGAAUCAGCUAUGUCGCGAUGAAUACGUCCCUAGACCUUGUACUCACCGCCCGUCACAUUAGAGAAGCCGGUAAUAGCCGAAACCCCAGCUUAGCUGGGUCUAAGCUAAGAUCGGUGACUAGAAUG
rnacentral:rRNA from 1 species